AAUCCAAAUCUGAGGAGAAGAGUACGGGAUUACCCAUGAAGGAAGAUAAAGUCAGUCUCUUUACUCUUGGUUCGGUUACUGUGUUUGAAGUUUGAAGUUUGAAGUUUGAAGACACAAUGGCUUUGUAGAUAGAAGUAGCAGAAGAAGAAUCAAUAGCCAAAUGCGUUUUAUGGGGGCAGUGAAGUUGAGAGCUCAACUCAAUUAUCAAGCCAAGAUUUUCUUCACUAACAAGCCGGAGAGAUCCCACUCUCACACUCCUCUCUAUGUAUUUAGUAUUUACUUUCAAAUUUCAUUGCACACCAAAACUCAACAGUCAUUUCCUCACUCCAAUUCCUCCUUCAGAGUUUGCUUCUCACGCCCCAACACAAUCUCUCUCAGCCUCUGUGGGACCCUCUCGCCAUUGGAGACUGAACAGCACGCUCCAGGUUUUGCCUUCAUUGGCUCAUCAUGUCUUUACUCAGAUUUCUUAAUGUAUAUUUAUAUUUAUUUAUUUAUCAAAAAAAUACAUUAUGUAUGUUUGCUGAUUAUAAUUAAUUCAGGGAGUUUCAACAA